AACUCUUGAUUUCUGUAGAAUUUUGUUACAUUUCUUAAUUCACCGGAAACCAGGAGAGG
rnacentral:pre_miRNA from 1 species